rnacentral:rRNA from 1 species
GACGAACGCUGGCGGCGUGCUUAACACAUGCAAGUCGAACGGAAAGGCCCUGCUUGCAGGGUACUCGAGUGGCGAACGGGUGAGUAACACGUGGGUGAUCUGCCCUGCACUUCGGGAUAAGCCUGGGAAACUGGGUCUAAUACCGGAUAGGAGCCAUUUUUAGUGUGAUGGUUGGAAAGUUUUUUCGGUGUAGGAUGAGCUCGCGGCCUAUCAGCUUGUUGGUGGGGUAAUGGCCUACCAAGGCGGCGACGGGUAGCCGGCCUGAGAGGGUGGACGGCCACAUUGGGACUGAGAUACGGCCCAGACUCCUACGGGAGGCAGCAGUGGGGAAUAUUGCACAAUGGGCGCAAGCCUGAUGCAGCGACGCCGCGUGAGGGAUGACGGCCUUCGGGUUGUAAACUCCUUUCGCUAGGGACGAAGCUGUUUGUGACGGUACCUAGAUAAGAAGCACCGGCUAACUACGUG